GUAGGUGGCAAGCGUUGUCCGGAAUUAUUGGGCGUAAAGCGCGCGCAGGCGGUUCUUUAAGUCUGAUGUGAAAGCCCACGGCUCAACCGUGGAGGGUCAUUGGAAACUGGAGAACUUGAGUACAGAAGAGGAAAGCGGAAUUCCACGUGUAGCGGUGAAAUGCGUAGAGAUGUGGAGGAACACCAGUGACGAAGGCGGCUUUCUGGUCUGUAACUGACGCUGAGGCGCGAAAGCGUGGGGAGCAAACAGGGAUUAGAUACCCUGGUAGUCCACGCCGUAAACGAUGAGUGCUAAGUGUUAGGGGGGUUUCCGCCCCCUUAGUGCUGCAGCUAACGCAUUAAGCACUCCGCCUGGGGAGUACGGCCGUAAGGCUG
rnacentral:rRNA from 1 species